UAACCACUCAAGCCUAGCUUGUUGUUGGGGACUGCAAAUCUUGCAGCCCUAAAGUCCAGUGGCGGCCCCUUUGGGUUCUAAGCGUAGUAAUUUCUCCUCGCUAUAGAGUCCUUAGGUGUUAGACUAAUUGCCUGUCGCGCUUGUAAAAACCCCCAAUUUUAAA
rnacentral:misc_RNA from 1 species